rnacentral:lncRNA from 1 species
UGCCACCUCAAUAGUUUCUCCAAACCUCCCAAGAGGAAUAUUUUUCUUUAAAUGUUCUUCUUUCAAGUCUUUCGUCAUAUCUGUGUGUACAAAUCCUAAAAGAGAAAUGUUUGUUUAGUUGAAAAGGGUACACACUAAGACAUCUGCUGAAUUUCAAAAAAAAUAAUAAAUUUGUUUCUGAAAAUUUUAAUUUGAAAUUAUUUAAAAAAAAAUUUUUUUUUGAGACAGGGUCUCACUCUGUCACCCAAGCUAGAAUGCAGUGGUGCAAACACGACUCACUGCAGCCUGGACCUCUGGGGCACAGGUGAUCCUCUUGCCUCAGCCUCCCAAGUAGCUGGGACUAUAGGCAUGCACCACCACACCUGGCUAGUUUUUGUACUUUUUGUAGAGUUGGGCCAGGCUGAUCUCAAACUUCUGGACUCAAGGGAUCGGCCCACCUCAGCCUCCCAAAGUGCUGGGAUUACAGGCAUGAGCCACCAUACCCACCCUAUAAUUUGAAAUUAUUAAUAAACCUUGUUUAUAUAAAAUAGUUUUGUUGGCCAGGUGCAGUGGCUCAUGACUGUAAUCCCAGCACUUUGGGAGGCCGAGGUGGGCAGAUCACCUGAGGGCAGGAGUUCGAGACCAGCCUGCCCAACAUGGUGAAACCCCGUCUCUACUAAAAAUACAAAAAAUUAGCUGGGGGUGGUGGUGGACGCCUGUAAUCCCAGCUACUCAGGAGGCUGAGGCAGGAGAAUCGCUUGAACCUGGGAGGUGGAGGUUGGAGUGAGCCGAGAUUGUGUCACUGCACUCCAGCCUCAGCGACAAGAGUGAAACUCCAUCUCAAAAAAAGCAAAACAAAACAAAAUAGUUUUGUUAGUAAUCAAGACACCAAGCCUACAUUUUUAUACAAUUUAACUCAAUGAAUAUUUAUUGGACACUAAAAUAUCUGACCCCCAAGUAUCUGGCCCACCUAGCAAAAUAUAAGUAGGUAGACACAAACAUGAAUAAAACAAAAUUCCACUCUUUGGGGAACCUAUGAUUUGUGGAGGAAAUGGUCACUUGCACACCCGAUUAUAACGUAAAGAAGUCUGGUGAAUAUCCUGAUAGAAGUAUAUAUAAAAUAUCAUAGAAUACAUUAAUUUUCACUUAGGUAGGGAUAGAAAAGUAGAAAGUAGUGUCAAGGGAAGGAAGGCAUCACAAAAGUGGUCACAUGAACUGAUUUGGUAGCUGAUGAUUAGAAAGGCCAGUAUUUCCCAUAUCUGGAUUUUAAAAUCUUACGGUCAUAUCCAAUUCUGAUACAAGUAAACAUAGAAAAUUCAAAUUCAGUAAAGCCUGCCAAGAAAAUGUUCUAAAGAAUGUAUUAGGUUCUACAGUAUAAAGAACUAACUACAUAAUAUAUAACCAACCAAUCCUAAAUAACUACAAAUACAUACCAGGGAGAACUGUAGACUUAUGAAGAAAAUCUUACAAGAUUAAUACAGGACAUACAAAUACGUAUUAAUAAAAUGCUUAGCCCAUAUAAUCAGUAUCCUGUAUAUUACUCAAUCAUUUGGGUUUUUAAAAAGAAAGCAAUAUUAAUCCUCAUGAAAAGAAUAGAAAAAAAUUUUUAAGGUCAUGAAAAAUAGAUGGACUAAAACUUCAACAUGACGUGUGAAGUAAACAUUUAAUGUGCAAUCUCAAAAAUACAGUUUUCAAAUUGCCUGUUAAAACUAAAUCAUUUAUAGCUCAAACUAUAGAUAAACCUAAAUAUAUUACCUUUUAAAGUACCAUAAUAAAUGUGAAGUAAACAAUGAAUUAAGAAUUAACAUUAGGCCAUUGGUUUAUUAUGCAAUACUAUGUAAUUACUUAACUUUCCUUUCUUUAGGUUUGCAGUUAUAAAUAUCUACGCAUUUUCUUAAAAGUCUUGUGAAAAAUAUUCACAGAUUUGUCUAUCAUGAAGCUUAUGAAUGACACUUUCAUUAGGAAAAAACUGAAACAAGCUGAAUGUCUUUCAAUAAGAAACUGGUUAAAUAAGUUAUGAUACAGCCAUACAACAGAAUAAUGCAGGUAUUAAAAAUAAUGCUAUAUGUUCUCACUUGUAACUGGGAGCUAAAGAAUGUGUACACAUGGAUGUGAUCACAAUGGAGAUUCAGAAGGGUGAGAGGGUGGGACAGAGGUGAAUAAGAAAUUACCUAAUAGGUACAAUGGGUGUUAUUCAGGUGACAGAUACCCUAAAAGCCCUGACUUCCCACUAUGAAAUCUAUGCAUAUAACCAAACUGCAUCUGCACCUGCAUUCAUUUGUAUUUAUACAAAUAAAUGAAUAAGAUAAAAAUAAAAAAUAAAAAUUAUGCUAUAGAAGGAUACUUAAAUCUGAAAGUAACAUUUGUGUAUAAAAUGUAGGUUACAAAUGAAUUAAGUUAUACCACUAUUAAAAACACAACAAAGAACUUAUACUAAUGACUGAAAAAAGUACUAUAUACCAAAAUAUUAACAGUGAUUAUCAUUAGAUACUAGAAUUACAGGUAAUGAUUUUUAUUUUCUUUAUAUUUUUCUGCUCUUUCCAAACUGUCUACAACAGAUAUAUAUAUUAUUUUUGUAUUCAGAUAAAAAGUUGUUGAAAAAAUGCACACAGUACUACCUUCAGAUAGUCUGUAAUGAAGGCCUGGAAUAACAAAACUAAUUUUGUAUUAUGUAUGUUUCACUGUGAAAUUACACAGUGAAAUACAGUCUUCUCUGCCAUAACAUCUUACCACAUUUAUUUUAAAAGUCAGCAAUAUUUCCUUCAUAUCCUCUCAUCUUUAAGAAGAAUGAGAAGGCCAGAAGGAAUGCAAGAAUAAAAGGAGAAGCAGCUAACACAGAUAUUGAUACUAGCCUCUGCAGAAUUUCCAACAAACUAUAAAUGAAACUUAAUUUACAGUGAAGAGCCACAAUAAUCAACAGGCAAUCCAAUCAGCUUAAGAACAAUAUCAUGGGGGUUCUCGCUGUCCAAAGUUUUCUGUCUUUAGACACAUGUAUUUUCCUUUUUUUUUUUUUUUUGAGACAAGAGUCUCACUCUGUCACCAGGCUGGAAUGCAGUGGUGCGAUCUAGGCUCACCGCAACCUCCGCCUCCUGGGUUCAAGCGACUCUCCUGCCUCAGGCUCCCCAGUAGCUGGGACUACAGGCACACGCCACCAUGCCCAGCUAAUUUUUGUAUUACUAGUAGAGACGGGGUUUCACCAGGUUGGCCAGGAUGGUCCUGAACUCCUGACCUCAGGUGAUCCACCCACCUCAGCCUCCCAAAGUGCUAGGAUUACAGGCGUGAGCCACUGUGCCCAGCCAACAAAAGUAUUUUCAAAAGUGCCUCAGAGAGUAUCCUAGGAAGAAAACCUCAUCUCACACUUGUAAUAAAAGCAGAAUGAAUAAAAAUUGUCAAAAACAUGUAAAAGUUCAUGUUAUCUUCUCAAAGAUAGACACAAUUAUCCUUUAAGUUCUUUUCAAACUCUAGCAAAAUUAGCAUAGAAUACUUCCCAGUAACUCUCACAAACUGUCAGCAUAAAAAUCGAUGCAUUUUAACCCAAAAAACAAAAACAGAAAAACACAAUAAACUACAGUAGAAAUGGUUUGCAAGAAAGACCUUGUGACUAUGCAAAUCCCAGGCUCAACUUCUGACUCUGCUGGCCUGGCCUUUUCUCAAAGGCAGUAUUUUGUGGUUAAAAAAAACCACUGGAUUAGGACACAUUAAACUAGAUUCUGUUCCCUGCUCUGCUGAUACUAUUAAAGCUAUCACCCGAGAAAAGUCACGUGCUAAGACCAGCUCGGUCACGGAGACCUUAACACAGCAGCACUAGAGGAAUUAAAGACACACACAGAAAUAUAGUGUGGAGUGGGAAAUCAGGGGUCUCACGGCCUUCAGAGCUGAGAGCCUCAAACAGACAUUCACCCACAUAUUUACUGACAGCAAGCCAGUGAUAAGCAUUCUUUCUAUAGAUGAUAGAUUAACUAAAAGUAUUCCUUACGGGAAACAAAGGGAUGGGCCGAAAUAAAGGGAUGGGUCUGGCUAGUUAUCAGCAGCAGGAGCAAGCCCUUAAGGCACAGAUCGCUCAUGCUAUUGUCUGUGGUUCAGGAACGCCUUUAAGCGGUUUUCCACCCUGGGUGGGCCAGGUGUUCCUUGCCCUCAUUCCGGUAAACCCACAAACUUCAGCAUGGGUGUCAUGGCCAUCACAAACAGGUCACGGUGCUGCAGGGAUUUUGUUUAUGGCCAGUUUGGGGGCCAGUUUAUGGCCAGAUUUGGGGGCCUGAUCCCAACAGUCAUGUACUAUCUGCAACUGAAUGACCAUUUCUGUAUCAUAAAAUGAAUGUAAUAGGUGGAAAAUGACAGAUCUCUGAGGUUUCUUUUCUGUUUUUUCUUUUUUGCUUUUUUUCUUUUGAGACAGUCUGGCUCUGUCACCCAAGCUGGAGUGCAGUGGCACAAUCACGGCUCACUGCAACCUCUGCCUCCCAGGUUCAAGCAAUUAUCCUGCCUCAGCCUCCCCAGCAGCUGGGACAACAGGCGCCUACCACCACGCCUGGCUAAUUUUUUUUUUUUUUUUUUUUUUUUUUGAGACGGAGUUUGGCUCCUGUCACCCAGGCUGGAGUACAAUGGCAUGAUCUCAGCUCACUGAAACCUCCGCCUCCCGGGUUCAAACAAUUCUUCUGCCUUAGCCUCCCGAGUAGUUAGGAUUACACGCAUGCAUCACCACACCAGGCUAAUUUUGUAUUUUUAGUGGAGACAGGGUUUCACCAGGUUGGUUGGGCUGGUCUCAAAUUACUGGCCUUAGGUGAUCAGCCUGCCUUGGUCUCCCAAAGUACUGGGAUUACAGGCGUGAGCCACCAUGCAGCCUGGCCUGAGGUUUCUUUUAGCCCUACAACACUACGAUUCAAAGAUUAAAAGUAUGCCUCAUUAAGUACUCUUCAUGACAACUUGACUUGAACUUUAGGAAUGUAAGUUCCCUUAAAAGGGCCCUCAGUUCUUACAUUGGUAGGUACAUAGAGGUUAGAAUACUUCCAAUUCAAGAAGCACUAACGCUAACCUGGGUUUUCAUCCAUGCUGUGUUGAAAGGAACUGAUCAGCCCUUCUUCUGGGUGGAUGUUAGUUCUGAUAUGUUUGUCCUUUCGGAGACAAAAAGUAAGGCCACAAAAGUUGUGAGUGACCAUUUGAACAGGUUUUUUCACCUCGGGGAAAAAAGCAGAUCUAGAAUAAGGCAUGAGAUACUGGAAGGUCUCCAAGCCUUAGACAGGCAAGGAGACCUAAGCAGUGAGACACUUUCAGGGACAAUCCCAGUGAGAUGGAAAGAUGACCUCUACCACACAGACAUGGGCUGACAUCCUUCUUUCUGCUUGUAUUACUUUCUAGUCUGUGCUCUCUCUCCUUGGCCCCAAAGGACUCUCCCCCAUAUCAUCCUUUCAUUUCAUUUGUAAAACUCUGGAAAUUUUGCUCUACUCCCCUUUUUGCUAGGUAUACAUUUACAAUGCCUUUCACACUAGGCUAUAAACAUUACAAACUACCAGUAGGUGCCACUGUCCAACAAAUAAUGCUACUGCAUCUCCUGGAGAGUUAGACGUUUCCAGUUUGGAGGACAGACAUGUGAUCCCCCAAAAACAACCAAGUAAGCUAGAUAUGGAACAGAUAAAGGCUAACAUCUUGAAGCUUUUAAUAAGGUCUUGUUAAAUGUUAUAGCCUGGAUUCAUCUCUGCUAUAGUCUAUGUCUAUGUUAGGUCAGAUCUGUACAAGAGAGAGUGGUGCCCUCUGAAUCCAACAUGAUUACAAGAAGUCCAGAACAGGAAUGAUGAUGUUCAGCCACCCACCUCGAAUGAAAAGUCUCCCUCCACUGCUCAAGCUUAGAAGAUAAGGGUGUGAUUUAUUUAGGGAAAGCUUGCCACAAUCUCUCCCCAGACCUAUGAAUGGAUACUUGGAAUAACAAAUAUCAGGGGACAGCUGCUAGCCAUCACUGAACUCUGCACUAAAAGUAAAGUGGGUGAGAGAGGCCAAGUUGAAAGGAAGGGAUGAAUUCACCAAUGCUGGUUUUUCCUCUUUGAUUAUGUUAUUUUCUAUGGAGGACAUGAACAUGUCCAAAGAGCCUCUCUUCAUUUUCUGUAGCUUUUUAAAAAAUUUAUAAACUUUACAUUUUUGAGGAAUUUUAGGUUUACAGAAAAAUUGAACACAACGUUCAGAUAGAUCCCAUGCACCCCCUUUUCACAUCACCCCCCCCUUUCCAUUUCCCAUUACUAACAUCUUACCUUAGUGUGGCACAUUUAUUACAACUGAUAAACCAAUAUUGAUACAUUAUUAAGUAAAGUCCAUAGUUUACAUUAGGGUUCACUCUUUAUUUUAUAUAUUUAUGUAUUCAUUUAUUAAUACCAUUUUGUCUUCACAAGCUAAGGGUUCACUCUUUAGACUGUACAGUUCUACAGGUUUGGACAAAUGCAUAAUAUCAUGUGUCCACCAUUACAGUAGCAGACAGAAUAGUUUUACUGCCCUAAUAAUCUGUCUGUAGCUUUUUAAAACUCAUGUAUCUGUCCCCACUUUAUCAGAAAUUAAAUAAAAUUUAUCAGAAAUUAAAUUAAAAAUGUAAAGCUAGUCUCUAAUGAUAAAUUACUCUGGGCUGUAUGGAACUUCCAUGUCAUUUUAUAUUAAAGGUUAUGAACCACGUGAUCUUCAUUUAUAAAUAUAUUCACAACCCAGGACAUGACAUAUAAAUGGUCUCUUAGGUUCCAUAUCAUGUAUCACAGACCUGAAGAGAGAGAUUAAUAGUCCUUAAACAACUCACACACCCUUCUUACUACUUGUAUUACUUUCCGGUCUGUGCUCUCUCUCCUUGGCCCCAAAGGACUCUCCCCCAUAUCAUUCUUUCACUUCAUUUAUAAAAUUCUGGAAAUUGUGCUCUACUCCCCUUUUUGCUAGGUAUAUAUUAACAAUGCCUUUCAAACUAGGCUAUAAAAUUUACAGACUACCAGUAGAUGCCACUGUCCAACAAAUGAUGCUACUGCAUCACCUGGACAGUCAGAGGUUUCCAAUUGGCUACAAAGUUAUCACUUCUUAACUCGACGAAAAGAUAACUGAAAUGACAAGCAUUAAACCAAUUUAGAGCAAAGAUACUUCUAGUUUAGUUCCAUAUAUGUGAUUAAAAACCCAGUUCAAUUUUUAUAGGAACUCUUUAGGAACAGGGACACUCUUGCUCAAAAAGGUAAAUGCAUGGCUCCUGCCCAAUGAGGAUUUAUAUUUGAUAAACUCUAAAGAUAUAGGCCAGGUGUGGUGGCUUAUGCCUGUAAUCCCAGCUACUACUGAGGCAGGAGGAUCGCUUGAACCCAGAAGGUCUAGGCUGCAGUGAGCCAAGACUGCACCACUAUACUCCAACCUAGGCAACAGAAUGAAACCCCAUCUCAAAAAAAUUUUUAAACAAUUUUUUUAAAAAGAUUAUAUCCUUUAUCGAUUUCUGACUAGCUAUAAACUAUAAAUAGAAACACCUCAUUUCCAUAUCCCUAGGUCAUUAUUUUAGUUUUCAACAUUUUUAUAUACAGCAGAGCCUUUAUAUUUAAAAAGGCAUCAGGAUUUUAGCCUAUCACUAGUACUAACAAUUGUGAGAUGGGGCACUAUUUGAUGUAUCUGCCAGAUAAGAUGUCCACUCUUUGAUGUAAGUUUCUAGGACUCAAAAAGAACAAAAACAACCCAACACUUUUCUAAGGGAGAAGAAAUAAGGCUCUUACCAAAAAGCUAAACCAAGAUUUUAACUAGAACAAAUUUCUAUGUCUUAAUAUUAUAUUUGUAGAGGGAAGCAGAGUGGGAAAUCAACUUCAUUCCAAACAGCACAUAAGAACACUUAGAAUAUCUUCUCUGAGUAGCUAACAAACUCAUGCAAAUCUUUGUCAACAAGAUUUUCUCCAAGUAGUAAACAUAAAAGCUCUUCAACUUAAAAAAUAAAGUACUGAAACACUUAAGGUAUCCUGUAGAAAUAAACAUAAUACUAUUUGUCAAAAUUAAAAAUGCACAUACCUCUGAAGCCUUUGCAGUUCCAGUCCCAAGAUUACACUCAUAUACUUGCAAAUGUGCAAAAUAAACUCCAUACAAGUAUUGUCACUGCAUCAUUAGUUGUAACAGAAAAAGUUCAGAACAAAACUAAAUGUCCAUCAAAAGGCAACAGGUUAAAUAAAUUAGGUAUACCUUUAAAACAAACAUCAUUUUCUGUUUUCAUUCAGUCAUUAAAAGUGACAUAACAGUCACAAAACACCAAAUAUUACAUGAUUCAAUUUAUAUGAAAUGUCCAGAAUAUGCAAAUCUGUAGAUACAGAAAGUAGUUUAGUGUACUGGGGAGAUUGGAAAGAAAUAGGGAAUGAAUGUUAAUGGGUUUAGGAUUUCUUUAAGGAUGAUGAAAACGUUCUAAAAUUUACUGUGGUGAAGAUUGAACAAUUCUGGGACUAUACUAAAACCACUGAAUUGACUGAAUUGUAAACUUUAAAUGGGUGAAUUGUAUGGUAUGUGAAUUGUAUUUCCACAAAGCUGUUAUUUAAAAAAGUGAAGCAGCUCUAUAUGGAAUAACACAGAAACAUCACCAAGGUAUCUUGUUCUAUGAAUAAAGGAAGAUACAGAAAGCUGUGAAUUGCAUGAUACAAUUUGUGUUUUCUUACACUCAUGCCCAGCAUGCUUUAUUGGCUUAUAUAUGAAAUACAAAAGAAACUUUGUAGUUAACAGCAACUACUUUUAAGUAACUGAAUGUCCAGAGGAGAAAAGACUCUUUAUGCCUUUUUGUACUUUUGAAUUUCGUACUAUAUGUAUUAUCUAUUCAAAACACAUAUUUUUUAAGGUAAUACAGCCAUUACAGUUUCCAUUUAUCAAAUAUUAUUUCUAAUAUUCAAUAUCUUCCAAUCAGUAUGAUUUCCCAUGAACAGUUUAUUUUAUAUUUAAAGUAAUACCAAAGAUUAGCAGCUAUUGAUCUUUAAAAAGUCAACAGUAUUAGGCAAUGAAUCGCAGCCUAAUUUAUUAUUUUCCUUGUUCCUUGCUUUUCCUGUUAUAAUUUGCUUUUAAACUGUUUUCCUGCUAAUUGGAAACUCCAUUUGAAGGUGACCAGGAAAACUGACAUAAAAGGACACAUAUUUGUUAACUGUGAUGUUUGUUAGCUGUGUUACAAGAUCUGUUGAAGAAUCUGGUUGAAAUUACUAUCUAAAAUAAAGUUGGUAAGUAAUCCACAGAACUGAUUUAAUUCUACUAUUUCAAGUUGCACUUUGCUUCUGACAAAUGAUGCAUAUUCAUACCAUCAAAUCUGCUAAAUAUACAUAAAGGCCACUCUAUUAAAUGGCCACAUUUUCAGCUACAGGUUUUUAUCUGUAGUAUAAAUUGCACUGGAAAUCCAUAAUAUAUAAAUAUAUAUUAUGCUCUAUAAGGGUUGUAUGCUCAACAAAAAAGGGGAGUGAUAAAUAAAACCACCACUUUCAAAAAAAAAAAAAAAAAACUGCACUGGAAAGUAAAAUCUUUAAGAAAGAAAGACUACAACCACACUUCCAUAACAAUCUUAAAACUUCCCCUUAGUAUGCAAACUGGAUUCCCACUAUUUAGUCUACUGCCUUGACAACUAUUUACUCUAAACUAGACAAAAUUAAGCAUUCUUUCCUUCUUCAACAUUUCUAUAGCACCAUAUAUGUACCUCUAUUUUAUAUUCGUCAUAUGACACUGCAAUUAUUUGUUUACAUGUCAGUCUUUUUCACUAUACUUAGCUCCUUGUGCAGAAAUAUCUUAUUCAUUCCUGUAAUUUGGGGAGCUAGCUCAGUCCCUACACGUAGGAGACAUGCCAGAAAGUUUGCUGCAUGAGUUAUUGUUAGCUAAGUACACUUCCAUUCCCCGAAACCAUUCAGCUUUUGUAUUAUCAUGAACUAAAAUUAACCCUUCAUUACCCACAGUAUUCCAAUCCUGAAAAGAGAAGGAAGCAAAUACAUGUAGUUCCAAACCACAAAUAAUUUAUUCCACAGAUAGUUCAUCUAGGCUAACGCUAAAAAUCAAUCAGCUUGCAUAAAGCAUACACAAAGAGAAAACAGUGCUAAGAUAACAACAAUGCUGCUUCUGGAUUGUUUUUUCUUUUUCUUUCUCUCCCUACUCCCAGCAAAUAGAUGUAUCUGAACCACAGUCACUUAUCAAAUAUUCAUAGAUUUAGAAUGUCUGAAUGUAGCUAGUUGCUAUGAGAAAAAAAAAAAAGAAAAGAAAAGAAUUGAAAUAAAGACACACUAUAGACCAAAAGGGUUAAUAGGAUAUUUUGAUAAAUCCCUGAUACCUGCUGGCUCAACUUCAGUGCCAAAGAAAACACCAACUGUAAGGUCCAAGCUGGAGCCAUUAGUGACCGGAAAGGGAAAGGUAGCAAAGGUCUACUUCAGCCCUCUCUUUCUUACAAAGGACCAGCAAACCAAAAUAAACUGCCUUUUCUUAUAUAGGUGAUUAAUUCUUAAGUACCUACAGUAGGCUAGGACAAAGAUUCCAUGGCUAACUGGCAGAGGUAGAUAAAAACACUUGUGUUACUCAAAAACCAAGUAAAUACCUAAUCAAAAUUUCUAGCACACCAGCUAAUUAGUGAUCAUAUAUUUUUGAGUUUUAGCACCUUUUUAUUACCCUCUUCAUUAAUCCAGGCAAUUUUAUCAACUAGUACCCUGGCGAAAGGCAAAUAAUGGAAAAGUAAAAAUUAGGAAAAUGGGAGGUUCCAGAUAGUUUAGACAGACCAUAGUAGUAAAAGGACAAAACUAUCUAAAGUUUGUGUAAUGAUAUAAAGAAAAUCUAAAAAGAAUUUUUUUUUUAAUUUUUAUAGAGACAGGGUCUCAACAGGGUCUCGCUCUGUCACCUAGGCUGGAGUACAAUGGCAUGAUCAUAGCUCACUGCAACCUCCAACUCCUGGACUCCAGCAAUCCUCCUGCUUCAGCCUCCCAAAUAGCUGGGACUAUAGGUGUGCACCACCACACCCAGCUAAUUUUUUUUUUUUUUUUUCGGUACAGACAGCAUCUUGCUAUGUUGCUCAGGCUGAUCUGGAACUCCUGGCCUCACAAUACUCCUGCCUCAG